rnacentral:rRNA from 1 species
GACGAACGCUGGCGGCGUGCCUAAUACAUGCAAGUCGAACGCAGGGGGGACGGGUGAGUAACACGUGGCUAAUCUCCCAUCAGAGGGGAUAACACUUGGAAACAGGUGCUAAACCGAUACUGAUGGAUGGACUCGCGGUGCAUUAGCUAGUUGGCGAGGUAACGGCUCAACAAGGCCACGAUGCUGAGCCGGGCUGGGAGGGGUAGCGGCCACACUGGGAAUGAGACACGGCCCAGACGCCUACGAGAGGCAGGAGUAGGGAAUCUUGGGCAAUGGGCGAAAGGCUGACCAAGCAACGCCGCGUGAGUGAAGAAGGUUUUCGGAUCGUAAAGCUCUUUUGUUAGAGAAGCGGUAUCUAAAGAGGAAGCCACGGCUAACUACGUGCCAGCAGCCGCGGUAAUAC